rnacentral:snRNA from 1 species
GUGCUUGCUUUGGCAGCACAUAUACUAAAAUUGGAACUAUACAGAGAAAAUUAGCAUGGCCACUGCACAAGAAUGACAUGCAAAUUCAUGAAACACUCCAUAUUUUU